GUAGGUGGCAAGCGUUGUCCGGAAUUAUUGGGCGUAAAGCGCGCGCAGGCGGUUUUUUAAGUCUGAUGUGAAAGCCCACGGCUCAACCGUGGAGGGUCAUUGGAAACUGGAGAACUUGAGUACAGAAGAGGAAAGCGGAAUUCCACGUGUAGCGGUGAAAUGCGUAGAGAUGUGGAGGAACACCAGUGGCGAAGGCGGCUUUCUGGUCUGUAACUGACGCUGAGGCGCGAAAGCGUGGGGAGCAAACAGGAUUAGAUACCCUGGUAGUCCACGCCGUAAACGAUGAGUGCUAAGUGUUAGGGGGUUUCCCGCCCCCUUAGUGCUGCAGCUAACGCAUUAAGCACUCCGCCUGGGGGAGUACGGCCGCAAGGCUG
rnacentral:rRNA from 1 species